AUCAAGAUGACGAGUCCCAAAUAGGACAAAAUACAUGUCUUGGAU
rnacentral:hammerhead_ribozyme from 1 species